UACGUAGGCAGCAAGCGUUGUUCGGAGUUACUGGGCGUAAAGGGCUCGUAGGCGGCCAACUAAGUCAGACGUGAAAUCCCUCGGCUUAACCGGGGAACUGCGUCUGAUACUGGAUGGCUUGAGUUUGGGAGAGGGAUGCGGAAUUCCAGGUGUAGCGGUGAAAUGCGUAGAUAUCUGGAGGAACACCGGUGGCGAAGGCGGCAUCCUGGACCAGCACUGACGCUGAGUGAGCGAAAGCCAGGGGAGCAAACGGG
rnacentral:rRNA from 1 species